rnacentral:rRNA from 1 species
UACGGAGGAUGCAAGCGUUAUCCGGAAUGAUUGGGCGUAAAGCGUCCGCAGGUGGCUGUGUAAGUCUGCUGUCAAAGAGCAAAGCUCAACUUUGUAAAGGCAGUGGAAACUACACGGCUAGAGUGCGUUCGGGGCAGAGGGAAGUUCCCGGUGUAGCGGUGGAAUGCGUAGAGAUCGGGAAGAACAUCAGUGGCGAAGGCGGCCUGCUGGGCUGUUGCUGACGCUGGAGG